AUGGCCGCUAAGGUUUGUGUGAGUUUCUGUGUGCCAACCGGGCACCAGCUGAAACCGCCAUGCUAAAAACUUGUGGCGCUUUUCUGCCCGGGAAUCUCCCGGUCUGUGGGCAGUGAAAAUUUGUUUGGAAAUGUGGUGCACACUCACCCUCUGUGUACCCACUGGGAACUGUGCU